UACACGACCGUACCGCAAACCGACACUGGUGCGCGAGAUGAGUAUUCUAAGGCGCUUGAGAGAACUCAGGAGAAGGAACUCGGCAAAUUGACACCGUAACUUCGGAAGAAGGUGUGCCUUUAGUAGGUGAAGGGAUUUACUCCUGGAGCCCAAUGAGGUUGCAAAAAAUCGGUGGCUGCGACUGUUUAUUAAAAACACAGCACUCUGCAAACACGAAAGUGGACGUAUAGGGUGUGACGCCUGCCCGGUGCUGGAAGAUUAAAUGAUGGGGUGCAAGCUCUUGAUUGAAGUCCCAGUAAACGGCGGCCGUAACAAUAACGGUCCUAAGGUAGCGAAAUUCCUUGUCGGGUAAGUUCCGACCUGCACGAAUGGCGUAACGAUGGCCACACUGUCUCCUCCUGAGACUCAGCGAAGUUGAAAUGUUUGUGAUGAUGCAAUCUCCCCGCGGAAAGACGGAAAGACCCCAUGAACCUUUACUGUAGCUUUGUAUUGGACUUUGAACAGAUCUGUGUAGGAUAGGUGGGAGGCUUUGAAGCAGGGUCGCUAGAUCUUGUGGAGCCAACGUUGAAAUACCACCCUGGUGUGUUUGAGGUUCUAACCUAGGCCCGUAAUCCGGGUUGGGGACAGUGCAUGGUAGGCAGUUUGACUGGGGCGGUCUCCUCCCAAAGUGUAACGGAGGAGUUCGAAGGUACACUAGUUACGGUCGGACAUCGUGACGAUAGUGCAAUGGCAUAAGCGUGCUUAACUGCGAGACUGACAAGUCGAGCAGAUGCGAAAGCAGGACAUAGUGAUCCGGUGGUUCUGUAUGGAAGGGCCAUCGCUCAACGGAUAAAAGGUACUCUGGGGAUAACAGGCUGAUACCGCCCAAGAGUUCAUAUCGACGGCGGUGUUUGGCACCUCGAUGUCGGCUCAUCUCAUCCUGGGGCUGUAGCCGGUCCCAAGGGUAUGGCUGUUCGCCAUUUAAAGAGGUACGUGAGCUGGGUUUAAAACGUCGUGAGACAGUUUGGUCCCUAUCUUCCGUGGGCGCUGCAGAUUUGAGGAAGCCUGCUCCUAGUACGAGAGGACCGGAGUGGACGCACCUCUGGUGUAUCGGUUGUCACGCCAGUGGCAUUGCCGAGUAGCUAUGUGCGGAAGAGAUAACCGCUGAAAGCAUCUAAGCGGGAAACUCGUUUCAAGAUGAGAUCUGCCGGGGCCUUGAGCCCCCUGAAGAGUCGUUCAAGACCAGGACGUUGAUAGGUCGGGUGUGGAAGCGCAGUAAUGCGUUAAGCUAACCGAUACUAAUUGCUCGUGCGGCUUGACCCU
rnacentral:rRNA from 1 species